rnacentral:rRNA from 1 species
GAUGAACGCUGGCGGCGUGCCUAAUACAUGCAAGUCGAGCGAACCACUUCGGUGGUGAGCGGCGAACGGGUGAGUAACACGUAGGUGAUCUGCCCAUCAGACGGGGACAACGAUUGGAAACGAUCGCUAAUACCGGAUAGGACGAAAGUUUAAAGGUGCUUCUGGCACCGCUGAUGGAUGAGCCUGCGGCGCAUUAGCUAGUUGGUAGGGUAAAGGCCUACCAAGGCGACGAUGCGUAGCCGACCUGAGAGGGUGAACGGCCACACUGGGACUGAGACACGGCCCAGACUCCUACGGGAGGCAGCAGUAGGGAAUCUUCGGCAAUGGGCGAAAGCCUGACCGAGCAACGCCGCGUGAGUGAGGAAGGUCUUCGGAUCGUAAAGCUCUGUUGUAAGAGAAAAACGACAUUCAUAGGGAAUGAUGAGUGAGUGAUGGUAUCUUACCAGAAAGUCACGGCUAACUACGUGCCAGCCGCCGCAGUAA